rnacentral:rRNA from 1 species
UACGGAGGGAGCUAGCGUUAUUCGGAAUUACUGGGCGUAAAGCGCACGUAGGCGGCUUUGUAAGUUAGAGGUGAAAGCCCAGGGCUUAACCCUGGAAUUGCCUUUAAGACUGCAUCGCUAGAAUCGUGGAGAGGUGAGUGGAAUUCCGAGUGUAGAGGUGAAAUUCGUAGAUAUUCGGAAGAACACCAGUGGCGAAGGAGACUCACUGGACACGUAUUGACGCUGAGGUGCGAAAGCGUGGGGAGCAAACAGG